GAUGAAGAACGUAGCGAAAUGCGAUAAGUAAUGUGAAUUGCAGAAUUCAGUGAAUCAUCGAAUCUUUGAACGCACAUUGCGCCCGCCAGUAUUCUGGCGGGCAUGCCUGUUCGAGCGUCAUUUCAACCAUCAAGCCCCGGGCUUGUGUUGGGGACCUGCGGCUGCCGCAGGCCCUGAAAAGCAGUGGCGGGCUCGCUGUCACACCGAGCGUAGUAGCAUACAUCUCGCUCUGGGCGUGCUGCGGGUUCCGGCCGUUAAACCACCUUUUAACCCAAGGUUGACCUCGGAUCAGGUAGGAAGACCCGCUGAACUUAAGCAUAUCAAUAACGGAGGA
rnacentral:misc_RNA from 1 species